AGAGUUUGAUCAUGGCUCAGAAUCAACGCUGGCGGCGCGCCUAACACAUGCAAGUCGAACGGGAAAGUGGGCAACCAUGAGUACAGUGGCGUACGGGUGAGUAGCACGUGGGUAAUCUACCUCUUAGUGGGGAAUAACCCUGGGAAACCGGGGCUAAUACCGCAUGAGCUCGAGAGAGGAAAGCAGCAAUGCGCUGAGAGAGGAGCCCGCGGCCGAUUAGCUAGUUGGUAGGGUAAAAGCCUACCAAGGCAAAGAUCGGUAGCCGGCCUGAGAGGGCACACGGCCACACUGGCACUGAAACACGGGCCAGACUCCUACGGGAGGCAGCAGUGGGGAAUCUUGCACAAUGGGGGAAACCCUGAUGCAGCGACGCCGCGUGAGCGAUGAAGCCCUUCGGGGUGUAAGGCUCUUUCGGCAGGGAAGAUGAUGACGGUACCUGCAGAAGCAGCUGCGGCUAACUACGUGCCAGCAGCCGCGGUAAUACGUAGGCAGCAAGCGUUGUUCGGAGUUACUGGGCGUAAAGGGUGUGUAGGCGGUUCUUUAAGUUUGGUGUGAAAUCUCCCGGCUCAACCGGGAGGGUGCGCCGAAUACUGAGGGACUCGAGUGCGGGAGAGGAAAGUGGAAUUCCUGGUGUAGCGGUGAAAUGCGUAGAUAUCAGGAGGAACACCGGUGGUGUAGACGGCUUUCUGGACCGUAACUGACGCUGAGACACGAAAGCGUGGGUAGCAAACAGGAUUAGAUACCCUGGUAGUCCACGCCCUAAACGAUGCAUAUUUGGUGUGGGCAGUUCAUUCUGUCCGUGCCGGAGCUAACGCGUUAAAUAUGCCGCCUGGGGAGUACAGUCGCAAGGCUGAAACUCAAAGGAAUUGACGGGGGCCCGCACAAGCGGUGGAGCAUGUGGUUCAAUUCGACGCAACGCGAAGAACCUUACCUGGGCUCGAACGGGUAGUCAACGGAGUGGAAACAUCUUUAC
rnacentral:rRNA from 1 species